rnacentral:rRNA from 1 species
AGCUUGUUGGUGGGGUAACGGCCUACCAAGGCAUCGACGGGUAGCUGGUCUGAGAGGAUGAUCAGCCACACUGGGACUGAGACACGGCCCAGACUCCUACGGGAGGCAGCAGUGGGGAAUCUUGCCCAAUGGGCGCAAGCCUGAGGCAGCAACGCCGCGUGCGGGAAGAAGGCCCUCGGGUUGUAAACCGCUUUCAGCAGGAACGAAAAUGACGGUACCUGCAGAAGAAGGUGCGGCCAACUACGUGCCAGCAGCCGCGGUGACACGUAGGCACCAAGCGUUGUCCGGAUUUAUUGGGCGUAAAGAGCUCGUAGGCGGUUCGGUAAGUCGGGUGUGAAAACUUUGGGCUCAACCCAAAGCCUGCAUUCGAUACUGCUGUGACUUGAGUCCGGUAGGGGAGUGGGGAAUUCCUGGUGUAGCGGUGGAAUGCGCAGAUAUCAGGAGGAACACCGGUGGCGAAGGCGCCACUCUGGGCCGGUACUGACGCUGAGGAGCGAAAGCGUGGGGAGCGAACAGGAUUAGAUACCCUGGUAGUC